GGUAUUUGCAGAAAGACAUUUGUGAUGCACUAUUACAGUUAGGUAGCUUUUUUCGUCAACUAUGCUCUAAGUCAUUGAAGCUUGAUGUGCUGGAAAAGUUAGAAGAACAAAUAAUAUUUGUGUUGUGUAAAUUGGAAAUGAUUUUUCCACCUGCAUUUUUUGAUAUUGUGGUACACUUAGCAGUCUAUUUACCACAACAAGCAAGACUUAGUGGACCUGUACAGUAUAGAUGGAUGUUUUUUUAUUGAAAGGUUCCUUGGUACUUUGAAAGGCAUGGUGAGCAAUAGGGCACAUCCAGAGGGUUCAAUCGCGGAAGCCUAUAUUAUGAAGGAGUGCUCAACAUUUUGCUCUAUGUAUCUCAAUGGAAUUGAGACAAGGUUCAAUAGGGAAGAGAGAAACUAUGAUGGAGAGAGGCAAUUCGCUGAUCGCUACUCAAUAUUUUCAUCUAGAUUCCGUGCUUUUGGUCACAAGGAUGACGUAAUCCUAACACAAGAUCAAUAUAAUUCCCUGUGUUGGUACGUGCUCAAUAAUUGUGAAGAACUGCAAGGGUUCCUAUAUGAGCAUGAGGACGUUUUAGAGGCACAAGGCGUGGGAAAUAUAGCAAAUAGACAGCAACAAGAGUUUGCUACAUGGCUGCGCCAAAGAGUUAUAGAUUUGCGCAAGGAUGGUUCAUCCCAAGUAUCUGAUUGUUUAUAUGCCCUUGCAAUUGGACCAUACAAAAAAUUACAUAAAUACUCUGGAUGUAUUAUUGGUGGAGUUAGAUUUUUAACAAAGGAGCGGGAGGAAGGUCGAAAAACUCAAAACAGUGGAGUAUGCGUUGAGGGUCCACAUAAAGGGAAAAUCAUAACAUACUAUGGUACUCUCACAGACAUAUAUGUCUUGGAUUAUCCUAAUGAUCGGCAAGUUGCAUUUUUUAUGUGUGAUUGGUAUGAUCUGGAGAGAAACAAACCAGUGAUCAUUGACAAUGACUUUGUUAGUAUUAAUAUAAGCAAAAGGUGGUACACAGAUGACAAUUAUGUAUUGGCUAGUCAAGUUAAGCAGGUCUUUUAUGUACCUGAUACUAAAUUGAAGGGGAAUUGGCAAGUAGUGCAAAAGGUUAACCAUCGGCACCUAUUUGAUCCAGAGGUUUGGAGUGCUGGGAGUGAAAGUGCUUUAGACAUCGGUGCUAAUGAAGAUAUUGCCUUUCAAGAAGAAGAGGGUGGUGAUAUUGUUCUGGAUGAUACUUUUGAAGCUAAUACAUUGAGUCGCGAUGAUGUGAUUCCAGAAAUUGUUAGUGAUCCAAAAGAGAUAGCAUCUUUAAAGGAGGGUCUUGUUUCUCGAAGUGAAUGUGAAGAAGAAACUGAGAAUUAGAUUUCUUGUGAUUCUAUUAUACAUCACUGCAGAUGGCACCUGGACAGAAAGUUCGGCCUCCAAGAAACUCACAACCAUCUAAUUGCCCACAAACUCAGCAUGUUUCUACUUCCAACUCCAAGAAAGUGCGUGGAAAGAAUAAAUCAAAAGGUUUGGAGUAACUGAUCAAAAAAGCUGGUCACCCACUGAACUUGAAUAUUUCAGUAGAGAGGAGGCCAAUUGGAGAAAAUCAUGAACUACUUUCAAGGGAGAUUGGGAUUGUUACUAGGUACCAUGCACCUAUCAAACGCAUUGGUUGGAACAAUUUUAGUGAGGCUGACAAAGAACCUUUGUAUGAGCUUCUGAAGAUGAAAUUCAACUUAGAUCUAUCUGAACCUCAUGUUAAAGGCUGUCUGGAGCUACUAUUUUCGUCAAGCUAUAAAACAUUUCGCCAUAGAUGCUAUACUCAUUAUCUCAAGUCUGGUGGUGGGGACAGUGCUCGUAA